ACAGCACAGCUCCAGUCCCUCCCUUUACAAGCCCCCCUUCCAUCCCCUUGUUCAUUAGCCUUCAUUGGGGGGCUUGCCAAGGGCCUCUUGAUGUCCCCUCCCUGGUGGAGUCACUAUUCCACUAUGUGACUCCUCACAAGGAUCUUGGAGUGAUGGCAAUUUUCCAUCAAUAUCUGGAUGUUACAAAGUACUCUCCGUGGAACUGGCUAUGUUUAGCCGUCAUAGUCAUCAUUGCCAUCUUCAUUAUCCUCUUGAUCAUCAUCUUCAUUUAUAUACUGAAUAUCCACUUUGUGACAGGAGAAUUAUAGAGAAGCAGAAGAUAUGCGUCCUGCCCUCAAAGAGCUUGCAAUGGAAGAUGUAACACUAUGGCUUCUCUCAUUUAUAAACACAUAUACACCAGUA